rnacentral:rRNA from 1 species
CCUACGGGAGGCAGCAGUGGGGAAUUGUUCGCAAUGGGCGAAAGCCUGACGACGCAACGCCGCGUGGAGGAUGAAGGUCUUCGGAUUGUAAACUCCUGUUGCUCGGGACGAAUAGCUUCAACCUAAUACGUUGAGGUCUGACGGUACCGAGUGAGGAAGCCCCGGCUAACUCUGUGCCAGCAGCCGCGGUAAUACAGAGGGGGCAAGCGUUGUUCGGAAUUACUGGGCGUAAAGGGCGCGUAGGCGGCCCGCUAAGUCGAACGUGAAAUCCCCGGGCUCAACCCGGGAACUGCGUCCGAUACUGGUGGGCUUGAAUCCGGGAGAGGGAUGUGGAAUUCCAGGUGUAGCGGUGAAAUGCGUAGAUAUCUGGAGGAACACCGGUGGCGAAGGCGGCAUCCUGGACCGGCAUUGACGCUGAGGCGCGAAAGCCAGGGGAGCAAACGGGAUUAGAUACCCCGGUAGUCCUGGCCCUAAACGAUGAAUGCUUGGUGUGGCGGGUAUCGAUCCCUGCCGUGCCGAAGCUAACGCAUUAAGCAUUCCGCCUGGGGAGUACGGUCGCAGGCUGAAACUCGAAAGGAAUUGACGG